UCUUUUAGCGCCAGGGCUUUUUUUAAAGUCGACGAGGACAAAAGUUAUCGAAUUUUCGGCGGAUGCUUUUGCGGAAGGUCUAUUUCGAGAGAGAGUAUAAAAUUUAAAAGUAAUUUUGAAUACAAAAUACA
rnacentral:ncRNA from 1 species